GUAUGACAGAAAGAGACAGUAUACACACAGUCUCUGCUGCAAGAUGAUGCUUCUCAGUUUUUCCAUAAUGUUGCUCUGUCUUUCUGCCAGUUCAGAGAGGGUUGUGCUGUUCAAAGAACCUGGCGAGAACGUCACUCUGAAGUGUUCUGAAGACUGUCCAAAGAGCAUUGAUGGCUUUGAAUCACUGUACAUGUACCAUGACUUUAAUAACACACAUGAAGAGGUGUUUUUCCAUGAAAGGGAACAGAGUAGUCCUGUUGAUAAAGUCACGGAACGACAGAGGUACAAGGGCAGGACUGAAACAAGCGGAUCUUACAGGAGUCUCUCCAUCACCAUCAAAAACCUGACAAAGGAGGAUGCUGGUGUCUACACCUGUGUGUACAAGAAGACAGCCCAAGAUAAAGUCUCAUGUGAUGUCUACACAGUUGUUAUAGGAGAGAGGAUUGUCCUAUCUAAAGAGCCUGGCGAAACUGUCACUCUGAGGUGUUCCUCUGAUAUAUGUCCCCAGAGCAUUGACAGCCACACUCUGCUGAAUAGAUACCAUAUCAAUGUUCUACCGAAGGAAGUGUCGUUCCAUGGAUGGAAAAUGUUCCCUCUUGAUGAAGUCACAGAACAAAAGAGGUACAAGGGCAGGAUUCAGACAGACAGAGCUGACAUGAGCCUCACCAUCAGUGACCUGACCACGAAUGACUCUGCUGCCUACACCUGCGUGGACAAGAAAGCCGUCCAGCUCUCAUGCACUGUCUACUCAGUUGUUAUACUUAGUAGAGACACAGGAGAGACUGAAGAGAGAAGUCCACCUCUUCUGUUAAUUUUUAUCACCAUCUGUGCCGUCAGCACAAUGGUGACCAUGAGCUUCAUGCUGCUGAUCUUUCCAAGGGUGAAACGAUGGUGCGUCAACAGAAGAAGCAAAGGAGGCGCCACUCAAAUCACCAAUGAUAAUAUCUAUGAAAUUAUGAACAAGAAUGGAUACCAAGCUGAGGCAGCUCCAGAACAGCCACCACUGAGCCAAGAGUAGUUUGGAUUACAACUAUCUCUAGAUUCAGCUCCUUAAUGAGUGUAAAUGAGAAGAUGUUUAAAUUGUGUGAUGUCAUUAACAGUAAAAUCAACCUGGUUAUUGAAUCUAGUGAGAGGAUUUAUGAACUUUUUUUGGCAUUAUAGCUGUCAUACAGACAAAGGCUUUAUCUUGAACAAUACAUUCUCUCUGUGGUGGAGCUGAAUGAGCAUCUGGGUGAAAACCACGCAGCUAGUGCAGAGUGAGUGAGGUUUACAUGACCACCCUACCUUCAGAGUUGAGUUUAAUAAGAUAAAAACAGUGACGGCGGGUGUAUACUCCUCAGUUUAUGUUGUAAUAUGUUGAUGCUGCCUGCUGUUUAUAAGCUUCAUGUUGAUAUAUGUAGAGUGUUUAACCAAUGUGUGAUAAUAAAAUGGUUCAUCCAGAUCUGUGGC
rnacentral:lncRNA from 1 species